GUGACCCCAUGUGCAUGAACAAGGGGAAGUGUGUGGGGCCCAACUCCUGCUCCUGUGCCUCUGGGUGGAGGGGGAAGAGGUGUAACAUUCCCGUGUGCCUGCAGAAGUGUAAGAACGGUGGUGAGUGUGUGGGACCCAACACCUGCCAUUGUCCCACGGGAUGGGAAGGCCUGCAGUGUCAGUCCGCCAUCUGUAAGCAGAGAUGUCUUAAUGGGGGCAG